UUGUUGGUAAGGUAAAAGCUUACCAAGGCUUCGAUCAGUAGCUGGUCUGAGAGGACGACCAGCCACACUGGGACUGAGACACGGCCCAGACUCCUACGGGAGGCAGCAGUGGGGAAUUUUGGACAAUGGGGGCAACCCUGAUCCAGCCAUGCCGCGUGAGUGAAGAAGGCCUUCGGGUUGUAAAGCUCUUUCAGCCGGAACGAAACGGUUACGGAUAACACCCGUGACUACUGACGGUACCGGAAGAAGAAGCACCGGCUAACUACGUGCCAGCAGCCGCGGUAAUACGUAGGGUGCGAGCGUUAAUCGGAAUUACUGGGCGUAAAGCGUGCGCAGGUGGUUUUGUAAGUCAGAUGUGAAAGCCCCGGGCUCAACCUGGGAACUGCGUUUGAAACUACAAAACUAGAGUGUGGCAGAGGGGGGUGGAAUUCCGCGUGUAGCAGUGAAAUGCGUAGAGAUGUGGAGGAACACCGAUGGCGAAGGCAGCCCCCUGGGUCAACACUGACGCUCAGGCACGAAAGCAUGGGGAGCAAACAGGAUUAGAUACCCUGGUAGUCCAUGCCCUAAACGAUGUCAACUAGUUGUCGGGCCUUUACGGGCUUGGUAACGUAGCUAACGCGUGAAGUUGACCGCCUGGGGAGUACGAUCGCAAGAUUAAAACUCAAAUGAAUUGACGGGGACCCGCACAAGCGGUGGAUUAUGUGGAUUAAUUCGAUGCAACGCGAAAAACCUUACCUACCCUUGACAUGUAUCGAAGCCCGCAGAAAAGCGGGGGUGCCCGAAAGGGAACGAUAACACAGGUGCUGCAUGGCUGUCGUCAGCUCGUGUCGUGAGAUGUUGGGUUAAGUCCCGCAACGAGCGCAACCCUUGUCAUUAAUUGCCAUCAUUUAGUUGGGCACUUUAAUGAGACUGCCGG
rnacentral:rRNA from 1 species